rnacentral:rRNA from 1 species
GAUGAACGCUGACAGAAUGCUUAACACAUGCAAGUCAACUUGAACUUCGGUUUGGGUGGCGGACGGGUGAGUAACGCGUAAAGGACUUGCCUCACAGCUAGGGACAACAUUUGGAAACGAAUGCUGAUACCUGAUAUUAUGAUUUUAGGGCAUCCUAGAAUUAUGAAAGCUAUAUGCGCUGUGAGAGAGCUUUGCGUCCCAUUAGCUAGUUGGAGAGGUAACGGCUCACCAAGGCGAUGAUGGGUAGCCGGCCUGAGAGGGUGAACGGCCACAAGGGGACUGAGACACGGCCCUUACUCCUACGGGAGGCAGCAGUGGGGAAUAUUGGACAAUGGACCAAGAGUCUGAUCCAGCAAUUCUGUGUGCACGAUGAAGUUUUUCGGAAUGUAAAGUGCUUUCAGUUGGGAAGAAAAAAAUGACGGUACCAACAGAAGAAGUGACGGCUAAAUACGUG